rnacentral:rRNA from 1 species
AGAGUUUGAUCAUGGCUCAGAUUGAACGCUGGCGGCAUGCCUAACACAUGCAAGUCGAACGGCAGCACAGUGGAGCUUGCUCCAUGGGUGGCGAGUGGCGGACGGGUGAGUAAUGCAUCGGGACCUGCCCAGACGUGGGGGGAUAACGUAGGGAAACUUACGCUAAUACCGCAUACGUCCUACGGGAGAAAGCGGGGGAUCUUCGGACCUCGCGCGGUUGGAUGGACCGAUGUUCGAUUAGCUAGUUGGUGAGGUAAUGGCUCACCAAGGCGACGAUCGAUAGCUGGUCUGAGAGGAUGAUCAGCCACACUGGGACUGAGACACGGCCCAGACUCCUACGGGAGGCAGCAGUGGGGAAUAUUGGACAAUGGGCGCAAGCCUGAUCCAGCAAUGCCGCGUGUGUGAAGAAGGCCUUCGGGUUGUAAAGCACUUUUAUCAGGAGCGAAAACCUGUCGGUUAAUACCCGGCGGGCCUGACGGUACCUGAGGAAUAAGCACCGGCUAACUUCGUGCCAGCAGCCGCGGUAAUACGAAGGGUGCAAGCGUUAAUCGGAAUUACUGGGCGUAAAGCGUGCGUAGGCGGUUUGUUAAGUCUGCUGUGAAAUCCCCGGGCUCAACCUGGGAAUGGCAGUGGAUACUGGCAGGCUAGAGUGUGUCAGAGGGUGGUGGAAUUCCCGGUGUAGCGGUGAAAUGCGUAGAGAUCGGGAGGAACAUCAGUGGCGAAGGCGGCCACCUGGGACAACACUGACGCUGAGGCACGAAAGCGUGGGGAGCAAACAGGAUUAGAUACCCUAGUAGUCC